UGUGAGGGUUGCUGGAGGUAUCAGAAGUGCGAAUGCUGACAUAAGUAACGAUAAAGCGGGUGAAAAGCCCGCUCGCCGGAAGACCAAGGGUUCCUGUCCAACGUUAAUCGGGGCAGGGUGAGUCGACCCCUAAGGCGAGGCCGAAAGGCGUAGUCGAUGGGAAACGGGUUAAUAUUCCCGUACUUGGUGUUACUGCGAAGGGGGGACGGAGAAGGCUAUGUUGGCCGGGCGACGGUUGUCCCGGUUUAAGCGUGUAGGUGUGUGUUCCAGGUAAAUCCGGUUCACUUUAACACUGAGGCGUGACGACGAGGCACUACGGUGCUGAAGCAACAAAUGCCCUGCUUCCAGGAAAAGCCUCUAAGCAUCAGGUAACAUCAAAUCGUACCCCAAACCGACACAGGUGGUCAGGUAGAGAAUACCAAGGCGCUUGAGAGAACUCGGGUGAAGGAACUAGGCAAAAUGGUGCCGUAACUUCGGGAGAAGGCACGCUGACACGUAGGUGAAGUGAUUUACUCAUGGAGCUGAAGUCAGUCGAAGAUACCAGCUGGCUGCAACUGUUUAUUAAAAACACAGCACUGUGCAAACACGAAAGUGGACGUAUACGGUGUGACGCCUGCCCGGUGCCGGAAGGUUAAUUGAUGGGGUCAGCGCAAGCGAAGCUCCUGAUCGAAGCCCCGGUAAACGGCGGCCGUAACUAUAACGGUCCUAAGGUAGCGAAAUUCCUUGUCGGGUAAGUUCCGACCUGCACGAAUGGCGUAAUGAUGGCCAGGCUGUCUCCACCCGAGACUCAGUGAAAUUGAACUCGCUGUGAAGAUGCAGUGUACCCGCGGCAAGACGGAAAGACCCCGUGAACCUUUACUAUAGCUUGACACUGAACAUUGAGCCUUGAUGUGUAGGAUAGGUGGGAGGCUUUGAAGUGUGGACGCCAGUCUGCAUGGAGCCGACCUUGAAAUACCACCCUUUAAUGUUUGAUGUUCUAACGUGGACCCGUAAUCCGGGUUGCGGACAGUGUCUGGUGGGUAGUUUGACUGGGGCGGUCUCCUCCUAAAGAGUAACGGAGGAGCACGAAGGUUGGCUAAUCCUGGUCGGACAUCAGGAGGUUAGUGCAAUGGCAUAAGCCAGCUUGACUGCGAGCGUGACGGCGCGAGCAGGUGCGAAAGCAGGUCAUAGUGAUCCGGUGGUUCUGAAUGGAAGGGCCAUCGCUCAACGGAUAAAAGGUACUCCGGGGAUAACAGGCUGAUACCGCCCAAGAGUUCAUAUCGACGGCGGUGUUUGGCACCUCGAUGUCGGCUCAUCACAUCCUGGGGCUGAAGUAGGUCCCAAGGGUAUGGCUGUUCGCCAUUUAAAGUGGUACGCGAGCUGGGUUUAGAACGUCGUGAGACAGUUCGGUCCCUAUCUGCCGUGGGCGCUGGAGAACUGAGGGGGGCUGCUCCUAGUACGAGAGGACCGGAGUGGACGCAUCACUGGUGUUCGGGUUGUCAUGCCAAUGGCACUGCCCGGUAGCUAAAUGCGGAAGAGAUAAGUGCUGAAAGCAUCUAAGCACGAAACUUGCCCCGAGAUGAGUUCUCCCUGAGACUUUAGGUCUCCUGAAGGAACGUUGAAGACGACGACGUUGAUAGGCCGGGUGUGUAAGCGCAGCGAUGCGUUGAGCUA
rnacentral:rRNA from 1 species